UUUUUUUGUUUUUGUUUUUUUUGUUUGUUCGGUUUUUUUGGAGAGCCCAAAAGUCAUGGAACAGUCCCCCGGCGGAUCUCACCGACACGGCUGCUGCCCGCUUUCACAAACAAAAGAGAAGACCCCCCAGCCCGUCCCAGCCCGGCCACCACCGCAGGACGCUCUCACGGCUCCCGGCUCCCUUUGGCAACCGGAAUUUUUUGGCUAGGGGCUUGGGGAGAAGGAGGUCUUUCUCCCCGAACACCCAAGUCCAGACCCCGCAACGGCGAGAAGAGCGUGCGCCUCGCCUCCCGCGCCUCCAUCCGCCCUCCCGCCCCAACCCCUUCUUCAUCAGAAGCAGAGCUGCCCCGGGUCUUUCCUCCCUACGGAAGCAGAGGGACUCUGUUAUUAUUAAUAUUAUUAUUAUUAUUUUUCCUGCACAAAACCAGCAAUUGUAAAUACUUUUGAAGAAAAGGAAAAAAAAAUGUAAAAAAAAAAAAAACCGCAGAAAAAAGAGAACCACACACACACACGCGCGGAGAACAGACAAAACCAACAAAUAAAGAAUGAAUUUCAAAAUAAAAUAAAAAAAUAAAAUAAACCCAAGAGAGGCAAAUAUGCAGGAAAGCAAAGCAAAAACCCGUCAGUAUGCACUGAGAAAAUUUAUUUACAGAUCGAUUGACAAAAGAGAAAAAAAAAGUAACAAUAACCUAUUUAUUGUAUAUACUGUUUUAUUAUAAAUCGUGUCUUGUAUAUUG